UUAAUAUUAGUUAUGAAAUAUAUUUCAAGAAAUUUUAUAUCUAGUUUUUUAAGAGUUUAAGUUUAAUGAAUAAUUUUUAUAAAAAUUAAUAUGGUUUAGCUUAUUAAUUUUAUAUAUUGUAAUAAUUUUAUAACCUUAGUAAAUUUGAUAGUGUUUAUUUUAUAAAUUUAUAAUGGAGGGUAAUAUGAAUAUAAAUUUUUAUUUAUUAUUGAUUUAUUAAAAAAUUUAUUAAAAUUUUAAAGUUUUAUUUAUAAUGAAAAAAUUAGUAAAAAUUUAUUUAUAUUUUAAAAUAUUUAAUAAGAUAUAUAAUGUUAUAAUUAUUAUAAAAAAUGAAUUCGGCAAAAAUUAUUAUUUGACUGUUUAGCAAAAACAUUGUUUCAUGAAAAAAAUAUGAAAUAAUGUCUGUCCACUGAUAUAUUUGAAGGACUGCAGUAUAUUGACUGUAUAAAAGUAGCAUAAUCAUUAGCUUUUUAAUUUGGGGUUGGUAUGAAGGCGAAACGGAUAAGUUCUUUAUUUUUUUAUAAAUAUUUAAAUUUUAUUUUUAAGUGAAAAAUCUUAACUAUUUGAGAGGGACAAGAAGACCCUAAUAAGUUUUAUUUUUCUUUUAUUUAUGUUAUAGGAAAUAAAAAUUAGAUAAUAUUAAAUUAGAAAUUUGAUUGGGGCGAUUAGUUAUAAAACAUAAUUAAAUUUUAAUUUUU
rnacentral:rRNA from 1 species